rnacentral:rRNA from 1 species
GAUGAACGCUGGCGGCGUGCCUAAUACAUGCAAGUCGAGCGAAUGGAUUAAGAGCUUGCUCUUAUGAAGUUAGCGGCGGACGGGUGAGUAACACGUGGGUAACCUGCCCAUAAGACUGGGAUAACUCCGGGAAACCGGGGCUAAUACCGGAUAACAUUUUGAACCGCAUGGGUCGAAAUUGAAAGGCGGCUUCGGCUGUCACCUAUGGAUGGACCCGCGGCGCAUUAGCUAGUUGGUGAGGUAACGGCUCACCAAGGCAACGAUGCGUAGCCGACCUGAGAGGGUGAUCGGCCACACUGGGACUGAGACACGGCCCAGACUCCUACGGGAGGCAGCAGUAGGGAAUCUUCCGCAAUGGACGAAAGUCUGACGGAGCAACGCCGCGUGAGUGAUGAAGGCUUUCGGGUCGUAAAACUCUGUUGUUAGGGAAGAACAAGUGCUAGUUGAAUAAGCUGGCACCUUGACGGUACCUAACCAGAAAGCCACGGCUAACUACGUGCCAGCAGCCGCCGUAA